rnacentral:rRNA from 1 species
GAUGAACGCUGGCGGCGUGCCUAAUACAUGCAAGUCGAGCGAACAGACGAGGAGCUUGCUCCUCUGACUUUAGCGGCGGACGGGUGAGUAACACGUGGAUAACCUACCUAUCAUACUGGGAUAGCUUCGGGAACCCGGAUCUAAUACCGGAUAAUAUAUUGAACCGCAUGGCUCAAUAGUGAAAGCCGGUUUUUCUGUCACUAAUAGAUGGAUCCGCGCCGCAUUAGCUAGUUGGUAAGGUAACGGCUUACCAAGGCAACGAUGCGUAGCCGACCUGAGAGGGUGAUCGGCCACACUGGAACUGAAACGCGGUCCAGACUCCUACGGGAGGCAGCAGUAGGGAAUCUUACGCAAGGGGCGAAAGCCUGACGGAGCAACGCCGCGUGAGUGAUGAAGGUCUUCGGAUCGUGAAACUCUGUUAUUAGGGAAGAACAAAUGUGUAAGGAACUAUGCACGGCUUGACGGUACCUAAUCAGAAAGCCACGGCUAACUACGUG